rnacentral:rRNA from 1 species
ACGGAGGAUGCGAGCGUUAUCCGGAUUUAUUGGGUUUAAAGGGUGCGUAGGUGGUCAUUUAAGUCAGCGGUGAAAGUUUGUGGCUCAACCAUAAAAUUGCCAUUGAAACUGGAUGACUUGAGUAUGAUUGAAGUAGGCGGAAUGCGUGGUGUAGCGGUGAAAUGCAUAGAUAUCACGCAGAACUCCGAUUGCGAAGGCAGCUUGCUAAGCCAUAACUGACACUGAAGCACGAAAGCGUGGGUAUCAAACAGG